rnacentral:rRNA from 1 species
AUGGCAACAACAUUUUCUUCCAUCUUGUGCAAGAUCCUUCUCGUUAUUGUAGCCACGCUUGCCCUCCUUUGCUCUGCCUAUGCAAGAGACGCAUCAGAAUAUGGGCAGUGUUUUUCCCGGCCUGAAUGCAGCAACUACUGCAAGCAGCAAGGGUACCUCAGGGGAGGGGAGGUCAUGCCGCCGAACUUCAUGGACUGUUGCUGUUUCAUAUGA